UGGCAAAUGGAAUGUCGUAUAAAGGCCAAAAAAUCCCUCAGCUGGUGAUCAGAACAUCAUGAAGUUCUUACCAAUUAUAAUCGGCCUGAUUGCCUUAGUCUGCAUCUCAACACCCGCCACAGCAGAACCGGCUCGUGGCAACUCUCGUGUGGGAAAACGUCAGGGCUGAAGAUGGAACCGUAAAAAACAAGAGCUAAGAAAAUGAUGGAAAAAAUAUAUGUACUUUUUUAAAUUGAA